GUUGAAACACUGGUUCCAGUAUGAUCAUUAAAGUUAAACAAAGUUGAGCCUGGUCUGUACCUAGAUGGGUGACCAGUUGGAAAUACCAGGUGCUGUAAG